ACUUAAAAAUAAACUUAAUAAUAAACUUAAAAAUAAACUUAAAAAUAAACUUUAUAAUAAACUUUAUAAUAAACUUAAUAAUAAACUUCAUAAUACACUUAAAAAUAUUAUAGUGUUUAAUUUUUUUUUUUUUUUUUCUUUUACAGAUGUAUAAUAUUUUACAUUGUUUUAACACCAUUUCAGAUUUAUCAUAGUAUAUAAUCAUACUUAUGCUAAGUAAACAAAUUUACUAAGUACUCAACCAACUGAAUAGUAAACAUAUAUACAUAACCUCCCCCUCUCGUCCACACACAUACCUACAUACAUAUAUAUACUUAAUAAUUUAUAAUUUUAACAACAUGACAAGUGUUAAUGAAGAAUCAAUAUGUUACAAUAAUCCAGAAAAAAUGGAGGACAUGAAAAAAAUAAUAAUCGAGGAAGUGAGGAAGAAUUUAAUUUAUCAUCAUUCAUUUGGACCAAGAAUGAGCUCUAAAGAUUUAUUAACAUUAAGUCAAGAACAAGAAAGUAAAUUUAAUAAAGAAGUACAUGAUUUAGGAUUACAUGUAAAUAGUAUACAUCAUAAUUCUACUCCUGCAUUUUUAUAUGAAAUGGCAUUAAAAUAUGAGAAUAACUCCUUUAUUACAAAUUCUGGUGCUUUAUGUUGUGUUUCUGGAGAGAAAACUGGACGAUCUCCUUCAGAUAAAAGGAUAGUAAAAGAAAUGAGUUCUGAAGAAGAUAUUUGGUGGGGUAAUGUGAAUAUACCUAUAAAAGAAAAAUCAUAUAGAAUAAAUAAAAGUAGAGCAAUAGAUUAUUUGAAUUUACAACCAAAUUUAUAUGUAAUUGAUGCUUAUGCAGGAUGGGAUGAAAGUAGUAGAAUAAAAGUGAGAGUAAUAACAUCAAGAGCAUAUCAUGCUUUAUAUAUGUUAAAUAUGUUAAUUCCUCCGACAGAUUUAGAAGAAAUACAAAAUUUUAUACCUGAUUUUAUUAUAUACAAUGCAGGUGAUUUCCCAUCUAAUACAUUAACAGAAGGUAUGUCAAGUAAAACAUCUGUUAUAAUUAAUUUCGGAUCAAUGGAUAUGGUUAUAUUAGGUACACAAUAUGCUGGUGAAAUGAAAAAAGGUAUUUUAACUUUAUUUAUGUAUAAAAUGCCUAAAGAAGGUAAAUUACCUUUACAUUCAUCAUGUAAUGUAGGUAAAGAAAAAAAUGACGUAACAUUAUUUUUUGGUUUAUCUGGUACAGGAAAAACAACAUUAUCAGCUGAUUCUAAUCGUUAUUUAAUAGGGGAUGAUGAACAUGUAUGGACAGAUAAUGGUAUAUUUAAUAUAGAAGGUGGUUGUUAUGCAAAAUGUAAAGGAUUAUCCAAACAACAAGAACCUGAGAUAUAUAAUGCAAUUCGAUUUGGUGCUGUAUUAGAAAAUGUAGUUAUGAAUCCAAUAACACGACAAGUAGAUUAUGACAAUUGUUCGAUUACAGAAAAUACAAGAUGUGCUUAUCCCCUUUCAUAUAUUGAUAAUGCAAAAAUACCUGCAUAUAUAAAUAAUCAUCCAAAAAAUAUUAUUUUAUUAACAUGUGAUGCUUUUGGUGUUAUUCCACCAUUAUGUAAAUUAAAUGUAUGUCAGAUGAUGUAUCAUUUUGUUAGUGGUUAUACAAGUAAAAUGGCAGGAACAGAAGAAGGUAUUUUAAAACCAACCGCAACUUUUU
rnacentral:lncRNA from 1 species